GGUGAACGCUGGCGGCGUGCUUAAGACAUGCAAGUCGAACGGCAGUCUUCGGACUGUAGUGGCGCACGGGUGAGUAACGCGUAACUGACCUACCCCAAAGUCGCGGAUAACGAUUCGAAAGAAUCGCUAAUACGUGAUGUGCUGUCAGAUUGUGUUCUGCCAGUAAAGAUUGAUUGCUUUGGGAUGGGGUUGCGUUCCAUCAGCUAGUUGGUGGGGUAAAGGCCCACCAAGGCGACGACGGAUGGCCGGCCUGAGAGGGUGGCCGGCCACAGGGGCACUGAGACACGGGUCCCACUCCUACGGGAGGCAGCAGUUAGGAAUCUUCCACAAUGGGCGAAAGCCUGAUGGAGCGACGCCGCGUGAGGGAUGAAGGUCUUCGGAUCGUAAACCUCUGAAUCAGGGACGAAAGACACUUCGGUGGGAUGACGGUACCUGAGUAAUAGCACCGGCUAACUUCGUGCCAGCAGCCGCGGUAACAC
rnacentral:rRNA from 1 species